AACAAUGCCUCAUGUGGCUGCAUCAAUGUUAUUCCAAAUGAUGGACACUUCUGCCAACCAAUCAGUGAGCUGUCUAAUAACUCUACUUGUCCAGCUGUCACACCCACAGUACCUCCUCUACCCACCCCACUGACACAGUCUGCUGAAAUCACAGUCAUCGAAACAACUGCUGUAACAACAAGCAACACAACUCCACCCACCACAUCCACAGCCAACACAACAACUGCUGCAAUGAAAACCAACACAACUACACCUGAAACAACAACUGCUGUAACAACAGCCAACACAAAUACAGCAACCACAUCCCCAGCCUACAUAACAACUACUGCCACAA
ensembl:lncRNA